GUGCUCGCUUCGGCAGCACAUAUACUAAAACUGGAAAGAUACAGAGAAGAUUAGCAUGGCCCCUGCGUGAGGAUGACAAGCAAAUUCAUGAAGCGUUCCAUAAAAAA
ensembl:snRNA U6 U6 spliceosomal RNA